rnacentral:rRNA from 1 species
UGGGGAAUAUUGCACAAUGGGCGCAAGCCUGAUGCAGCCAUGCCGCGCGUGUGAAGAAGGCCUUCGGGUUGUAAAGCACUUUCAGCGGGGAGGAAGGCGUUAAGGUUAAUAACCUUGGCGAUUGACGUUACCCGCAGAAGAAGCACCGGCUAACUCCGUGCCAGCAGCCGCGGUAAUACGGAGGGUGCAAGCGUUAAUCGGAAUUACUGGGCGUAAAGCGCACGCAGGCGGUCUGUCAAGUCGGAUGUGAAAUCCCCGGGCUCAACCUGGGAACUGCAUUCGAAACUGGCAGGCUAGAGUCUUGUAGAGGGGGGUAGAAUUCCAGGUGUAGCGGUGAAAUGCGUAGAGAUCUGGAGGAAUACCGGUGGCGAAGGCGGCCCCCUGGACAAAGACUGACGCUCAGGUGCGAAAGCGUGGGUAGCAAGCAGG